CUGUGCUAUCUUGUCUGUGGUUUGAAGGUGAGAUUAGCACAGCACUAUAGGCGGUAUCUUCGAGAACCGUAAGACUAUUCAUAUAAA
rnacentral:pre_miRNA from 1 species